GCUUUACUUGUUGUUGUUUUUUAGGUGAAUCAAUUGCAAUUGAUGGAAUAUAUAUAAAAUGCUGAGAAUAUUUUCCAACAAUUUUGUGAUCUCCAUAAAUAUGAAGGGGAAAGGUGAAAAUAUGCUUUAAGAGCACUAAUUUAUAUGGUGUAGUAAAAGUUCAUGUAAUUUUUUCAAAAUCGAAUAUGCGGAAAGGAGCUGUUUGGAAUGAAGAUUUAC